CCAAGCAUAAUCCUCAAUUUUGUCGUAAAAAUCCAAUCUUUUUCACAUCUCUGAAGUAUUUUGCAAAUGAAUGUUACUCUAAUUCAAUUUCAAAAACUACAAGACUGGACCUUUUCUCGGUUUCUUGCUUGAUUAUGGGAGAAGAACUAUUUGAGAGGUUAAGUGUGUGCUGACAAGGUUUGGAAUAUUGGCUAUGGAGUUUUGGUAACCAAUUAAUAGAAUACAAGACACUACAACCAGAUGUGAAGUUUUACACAUUAGCGACGUGAUUGCUUCGAGCUUUUCAUACGACUUAUCCCGUAUUUCGUCGCAAUUAACGUGUGUUAGAGGGAUUGUCAAGAGAAUCGGCUCAGGUAUAGAUAAUCAGUUUGACCAGCCUUCAUAGUAGACGAGAUUAGAAUUCAGCGAAGGAUGGGUAAGACUCCAUCUCACUCGGAGUGCAGCCGACUCUAUGUGUCAUCGUGCCAGAAUUUUGCUACAGACCUACAGAUCCAGGUAUUUCUGAGCCCUAUAGCGGGCGUUGAUUACUCAGUGGAAGGUCCAUCGGAGUUAGUAAGGUAGUUGCUUGGCG